rnacentral:lncRNA from 1 species
UCAAUAAACUAUGUCUUACAAACUCAGAUCAUCUUCGAUAAGAAGAAUCACUGUCAAUCUAUAUCAAUUAUGAUUACAACUGAAUCUCAACAAUUCUAUUUAGAACCAACCUUGACAAUCUCCCUGAACAUUCCACUUGUCCUUUGGAUAAUCUAUAAUUCUGACUCCUCGCUUAGCCUUAGCCAUACUCGCAAUCUCAAUCAAGCAAUUCAUCUUUAAGCUUUUCUGAAAUGGUUAAAAAGGAAUAGCAAGGGUGAGCAACAAUGCUCAGCAAGUGUAUAUAAGCAACAAUAGUCCUGAAAUAUCUUAUCAGGGUUCACAAGUUCAGGAUAUGUAAUUGAAAACUUCACAAUUCUUAUCAGCAAUUGAAAUCAGAAUUCAAACUUACAGAAGAAUUGUCGAAUUGGAUUCAUCACAUUUUUACUUAAAAACCAAAGGUUAGGCUGCUGAUCAGUCACGCACUAACCCCGAACAUGGCACACAGCCCUGUUCUCUAUACUGGAUCCAAGGCACACAUUGGCCUAUAAUUGACCACGAAUCUGGUCUGACCACGAAUCUGGUCCACAUAUUUUAUAAAAACUAAUCCAAUUCUAACAAUUUAAAUCAAUAGACAAUUCAAUCAACAGAACAGAAUCAUAAUCAUUAUCAACAACAGAAAUAUUCCAAAUCAACUUUUGAGAAUCAACAUUUCAUAAACCAUAGUCCGUCUUUUGAUAAAUCAUAGUUCAGGAAAUUCCUAACUAUUCAGUAUCCUCCAUUAUCGGCUAAGCAACUGAAUUUAGCCUGCUAAACCAGCAUGACAAUGGCGGGUUGAAUAAUCAAGAAGAUCCCAAUUCAUUCUAAGUUCUAACUAUCACUGAGCAACACAUGCUUUAAUGACAAUCUGAACUUCGAAUUAAUUUGUACAGCUGAUAUUCUUAAAAUCGUUAGGGUUGGAAGGGAUGGAUCAGAAUACUUGUAAUAGAAAUUGGGAGUAUUUGGGUGUUUGGCUUUUCAAAGACUUGAAAGUAGAAAACAAUCAUGGGUUUCAUUCUCAGAAAUAAGAGUUUAUUUGAGAAAGGUUUUCAGUAUAAGCAAUACCAUAAUCUGGACAGAAUAAUCAGAACAUGCAAUAUAUAUAUACGAGGAAGGAUUUAGGAAAACUUGCCUUAAAUCCGCUUCCACACACAGCUUAAUCUCAUCUUUCCAACUCACAACCUAUGCAUAUCAUAGUCUCUAGACCAUCUCUAGCUAUACUUUAUUCGCCACUCUGCUUCACCUACUCGAUUCGUUCCUCAUUCGCUUUGGAACACCGUUUGACUUUCUGAACGUCUUCGGUCAUACACGUCUCGUCCAAAUCCUUAACGAGGAUAAGAUAAUACUAUAAUCACUAACCAAUCUAUUGCAUAUACAUAUCACGUAUAUCGAUACCCACUUAUAUAUCCCUUUUAAACUUAUCAGAUAUCACCUAACACAUAAUCAUGCUUUGACUCCAACAUAUAGUCAAUCAUAUUUCACAUAACAUAUCACAAAUCAAUUAUCAUAUAAAUCCUUAUCGGAAAUUCGACAUCGUCUCGUCUAUGUAUAAGACUAUCCAUCUGUUAUCCUAUCUCAAUCAACCAUCAACCAACACAAUUCAAUCACUAUCCAUACAUUCUUAUCCAAUAUCAAUCAAUUCACGACACUAUGUCAUAUAAGUCAUUUAUCACAUAUGUAUAAUAUUAGGAAUAGCCACGUAUACCACGUAAUCAUCAAUUCAUAGCAGACAAGUCACAUAUUGACACAUAUUGCAUAUUACAUGACAUAUAAUCACAUUCUAGACUCGAUCAUAUUAUCUUGCUAUAUUAAAAUAGACUCCAUAAGCUUUCAUCUCCCUUUCGUUUCACCUGAUUCUGAAUUACGGAUCAAAAGAUAUGAUCAAAACCGUUUUCUAACUCUCCUAUCGGCACAUAACAUAUCAAACAGAUAGCAGACAACAUAUUUCAUAUAAGGUCUCCCAUCCCGAUUGAUGUCAAAUCAAGUCUUGGGUUAAAAAUGAUUUUUCGGGAAUUUUCUGGAAUUUUCUAAACAUUUUUCGGAAUUAAAACAGGUAAAAGAAUCCAUUUUUGAAUAAAUAAUCAGAUCCGAUUGCUCAAGAUCGGAUCCGAAAUCAUUUGGAAUCAUUUAACGAGCCUCAAACAUAUUUUAGAAAAAUAAUCCAAAGCUCGAAACUAUUUCUCGGAAUUUUUAAAUCAAAAGAAAUCAUUAAAUCUAAUUAAUUAAUCAAUUAAAAUCAAUUAAUAAUUAAUUAAAAUAAUUAAUCAAUUAAUAUUAAAAUUAAUUGACCAAUUAAAAUAAUUAAUUACUAAUUAAAUUUAAUUAAUAAACUAAUUUCAGAUUUAUUUUUGAAUAAAGAAGUAAUUAAUUGAAUAAAGAAAUAAUUAAAAACUAUUUUUGAAAUUUAAAAUAAUUAAAUAAAACAAUUUUUGAAAAUUAAAUCAAAAGGUUUAUUUUGUAAACUUUUAAAAGUUUUCGGCCAGGGUAUAAAGUGUAACUUUCAGAAGUUUCAGGGGGUGUUUUGUAAGAUUCAAAACCUGGGUACGAUAACUUCACCAUCUUUAAAAGUUGGGGUACCAAACUGCACUUUGGCAGCGGCACCCCCAGACUCGCCGGCGACGGCGUCGGAAACGCCGCCGGAGGCGUCUCUCCGCCCAGAACCAUGCCAGAAGGUGCAGAACUGGUGUACACAUCACCAGGAACUCGAAUAUAUCAACCAAUUAAGCAGUAGUUCCAUGAAUCAGCCGGAAAACGGAGCAAAAGCUCCGCCGCAGCCGCCACGAUUUCCAGAUUCCGGCGACCUCUACGGGGGUCGUCCGGUCAAUUAGGUGGCAUGAACAUACUCCUCUCCUCACGCUCUUUCUAAUGGUACCAACCACACAUCCUCUAGUUUCCUAGAUUUAAAACGCCCAAUUCGCAAUUGAAAACAUUCAUAAACUACGAAGAACACUCAAGAACACCAAUUCAAGAAUCAAACCAACUUUUCUAUAUGAUAUGGAAGUCAAAAAUCGACAUAUAAUAUAUGAAAACGAAUGGCAGGAGAUGUUCUACAACAUGGAAUCAUCAAAUCAUAGAAACAAGAUCGUUUACGAAAAUUCAUCCUUUGAAAUAAUAUAAUUCGAAAUUAAAAAGCUUAUUUAGCAAAAACCUGUCGAUUCAGCGCUGAUAUUGAUGACUACAAUAGAUUCUACGCGUCGAGAGCUUCGUUUUGACUAUUUAUACGCCUCCAUCGGAUUCCAAUAACGCCUUCAAAUCCUCGUUUGAAUAUGAAGAACACGAAGAACACCCGUUCGUCUUCUCUCGGUAUUCGUGCAGAGAAACUGACGAAAUGAUUGUACGUGCGAAAUAAACUGGUAAAGGAUAUUUAUAGAAGAAGAUAAGAGAAUAUUCCUUGAAUAUGCUUUGGAAUAUUCCUUGAAUAUGCUUUGGAAUAUUCCUGGAAUAUGCUUCACGCAUUACGAGACAACCAGAUAAUUAUUAACUUUAAAAAUAUUAAUAAAACCGUACCGGAUCAUUUACGGGGCAAACCGUACUCCGGAUUGAAAAAGUUAAAACACGAAUAAUGCUCAGAAUGUCCCAAAUAGCUUAAUGGCGAAAUUUUCCCGAACGCCCACGGGGUUUAAAAUGUUAAAUAACUAUUUAAAUAUAAUUAAUAAUUAAACGAAAUUAAAUCCAUAA